AAAAAUAAGAUUGAUGUGUAAUAAAAGCCUGUGUAGACGGACGCAAAUAACUUUAAUUACGUUUUGAAACUUUCGUAUGAAAUGCUUAGACUACGACCGUCAGAAAUUUAUUAUUCACAGGAUUCGAUAAAAAACACUUUUGACUUGAUGUGUAGUCACGGUGGAGUUUUAAUCGGAAAGACAUUGGAUGAUAUUUUGCAAAGGAAGGACAGCCAUAUACAGCAUUCCAACAAUCACGGUUGUGAAACGGAAUGGGCAAUGGGUGACGGCCGAAAAUCGGCGACUCUGGGUAUUCCGACAGCUGGAGGAGCUCGGAAAAUGUACCUUCAUCGACGUCAAUGCAGGAUACUCUAUACCGGCCGCGAAACUAACUUUAACUUACGGCGGUGUUACGGUACGCGUCCGCGGAAAUCCGUACAGACGGUCAGAAUACCUGUACAACGACAGCAGCUUGUUAAGUAAUUCGUACGACAAUGCGACUCCAUACAGAAGCAACUCUACUCGUAUAACUACGAGCUACUCGUCGCCGUCCGCUCGAGUACAAGCGACUCAGUAUCAGUCUCAGCAACACAAGUAUACGGAACCUGGGAAAAACGCUUCGUGGUGUCUUAUAAUACUACUACUUUUGGUUAUAAUGUUUAUUCUUGUAAUUGUGGGGAAUGUAUUGAUUUAAUACCGAUGCCGCGACUACGUGUUGCUGUUACAUUUGAAAUGUUCAGCAUCUGCAAUUUACACACUACAGUACUAUCUUAGAUACUGUACCUGACACAAACUUACUUCAAAGCGAGUAAAUGCGAUAUUUCUGUCAAAACACAGAGCUGAUUAUUUAAAAAAAAUGUUCUGAACAAGUAAUAGCAGAAAAUAAACGAACGUAUAUAUUUAAGCAAUUCUAAAUUACAUCUGCUGUACCGCAGUAGACAUCUCCAUGCACACAAUAGACACAGGGUUGGUUCUUCAAAAAUACGACUCAAUUUGUUGUUAUUUGCGUGCGUAAACAUGUUCCUUUAAAUUUAAUUGAAGUAAAUAUGUGUUUGAUGGUGACCUACAAAGAUUAUUGAUUAAUUUUAUACAGUUUCCUCGUUUAUACGUCAUACCUUUGUUAAAGAUUGAGAGCGUAAAAUGUUAAUAUUUAAACCUUAUUUAAUCACUUUGUUGUCAAUGUAAUGGAUUUGAUACAAAUAUAAUGUCACGACUAAAACGUAUAUAUUAGUAAUAAAAUACUUAUACUGGUGAAUAUUUGUUGUACGUGUAUAAGUACUUGAUCAUAAGCUGUAUAUGCGUUAUUAAAAUUGAAUAGUGUGGUCUUUUCUGGUAUGUUCUAUUAUUAAACCAUUUCUACAAGGAGAUGAUGAUGACUAUGAUAAAACUGCACAUACAAUUGUAAACCGUUUUUUGAUGAUUUUGUGUUAUAUACUUUAGUAAUGAAAUAUUGUAAAUACAUGUUUAUGAUAUGGGGAUGGCAUAAAGAGGUUUCAGUGGUACCAUUAAAUAUUUGUUUUUUUUCAAAUUGCAUGUUUUGUUUAGUUUGACUUAUUGUUCAGAUUUAUUUAUCUUUCUGUGAUUUUUAUCUUACUUGAUUUUUUUAUUUAAAUUUCCACACAUUUUGUUCUUCCAAAAUCAACUAUCAAACGCAUGCAACUAUCAAAACAAAAUUAUUUUAAGCGUUUUAAGGGCAAUUUAGUAAAGAACCCUAACUUAUUCGUAUAAAGAAAGCUUGAGCAGUUUUGUAUUGCAGUGAUCACAUGUACAUGGCAUGCAAAACAAAAUGUUCGGAUAACAUACGGCUGUCGUGUGUGCGUGACCAAGGUUUUUAUCAGUCUGCCUGUUAUUCUGCUACUUUAAUAAGGCAAAUGAAUAGAGACAGAAUACACUUAUCCGUACUUUGCUAACGUUACAAUUUUACAACAACGACCAAAUCGACUACAUUUACAAACGUAUCUUAAUACUACUACUACUUUAAAUGUAUUGGCUUUUCCGUGUUCACAAAUUUCUCCUAGUAUGCUUAUUUGUUUCCUACCGGUUUCACCGGAGGGGACUUAUGGUUUGCGCGUUAGGCGUCUGUGAGUCUGUCUGUGAGUCUGUCUGUGAGUCUGUCUGUCUGUCACACUUUUCUGGAUCCUGCGGUAACUUUUAAAGUUUUUAAUAUUUUUUCAUGAAACAUGCAACAUGGAUAGAUGGCAAUAUGGACAUUAUGCACGUCAUUUCAUUUUGUUCCUACGUCAAAAA